UGGGGGAUAUUGCACAAUGGGCGAAAGCCUGAUGCAGCGACGCCGCGUGGGGGAUGACGGCCUUCGGGUUGUAAACUUCUUUUGCUCUGAACAAGGCGCACCAUGGGGUGUGUUGAGUGUAGGGGUUGAUUAGCGCCGGCUAACUACGUGCCAGCAGCCGCGGUAAUACGUAGGGCGCGAGCGUUGUCCGGAAUUAUUGGGCGUAAAGGGCUUGUAGGUGGCUGGUUGCGUCUGUCGUGAAAGCUCAUGGCUUAACUGUGGGUUUGCGGUGGGUACGGGCUGGCUUGAGUGCAGUAGGGGAGGCUGGAAUUCCUGGUGUAGCGGUGGAAUGCGCAGAUAUCAGGAGGAAUACCGGUGGCGAAGGCGGGUCUCUGGGCUGUUACUGACACUGAGGAGCGAAAGCAUGGGGAGCGAACAGG
rnacentral:rRNA from 1 species